rnacentral:sRNA from 1 species
AUGCUUAAAAACAUUUGAUGAUAAAUAAAGUCACAAUUAUAAUUACAUAUAUUUUUUGAAUAAGACGAAUGGUUAAACGUAUAUCAAAAAAGUCAAUGGCGUCAUGUAUUAAAAAACACAAAUCGAGCACGCUAUUGAAAAUAGAUCAACUCUAUUGGUUCUAAUUGUUCUUACAAAGUGCAACGCAACACUCUUCUCUCAACUUUCGAACUCAAUCGAAAUCUACGCUAAAAUCCUAAUUUUCUCUCAAAAUUAUCCUCUCCAAAAAUUGAUACUCAAAGCCUAAACCCAUCAUCUAUUUAUACUAUGAUGUGGCAACAUAGAUCCAAUAUGGAUAUGUACUCCUAAUCCCUUAGAAACUCACUUGCAAAAGACUCCAACUUAUUCUAUUACAAUUUAAACUCCAAUCUUGCUUACAUGUGGGCCCCACGAUUUUUUUUUAAUUUUUUUUUGCUGACUAGGAUGCCACGUCAGUGAAACCACCCACAUAUACUGCCAAGGGACCUUCGGUGAACGGUUUGAAUAAGUUUAGGGGCAAACGUUUCUGGCUUUGUGGUUGAGGGAUCUCAAAAAAUCUCGCUGUUUUGUUGAGGGAAUUUGUUCCGUUGAAACAACCAAGCCUGGCAAAGCCUUUCAAGGCCUCCAGUUCACCAUCUGAAGACCAGGUCGUGUUAGCGUGGGGAAGCUAUUUCAGAGGGGAGUACCUAUACAUCUUUCGAAAGAUUUUUAUAAUCGUAUCAUACAGAUUUUUAAUCUUUGUAUUAAAAUCCGAUAGAUAUAAUAAAAAGCAAAAAGCAAUUAAGAAACACCAUAAUAAACAUUAAAUUACCAUAUCCUCAAGAAAAAGACCAAAUCAAAUACAAAAUUUAAAAUUUACAUGUGAAGAUUCAAAAAUUACAGUGUAACUUACAAAAGUUACAGUGUAAGUUUCAUAAAUUACACUGUAACUUACAAGAAAAUGCACUGUAAAUUUGAGUGAGAAAAUCGAGUGAGAGAUAAGAAAAAAACUUUCGAGUGAGAUAUAGCAAAAUCGAUUUCAGAGAUCUAAAGGCAACCACAACAAUAUGCACUAAGCUUGCUAGCUUUUGAUGGCUAGCUCUCUGAGCUCAACUUCCUCUUUGGUUCGCUGGAAAAUACCACUUUAGGAUUGAACAUUUUCUCAUAUAUAGUUGCCAAAAACUUUAUCAUUGCAAUAAUAGCAAAUUGACCAACAUAAUAUACUAGUGCUUAAUCAAAAUCAACUUUGCGAUGAAUCUCGGAAAUCCCAUAAACCUAAAAUAUUUCUAGCAUUGCAGGAAGGUAGAUAUUUUACUCUCUCUCUCUCUCUCUCUCUGUUUUUUUUUCCUCUUCUAAUAUUUCUUAUUUUUUAAUUCCGAAUUUCAUUUAUUUCCUAAUUGUAUUUCUAUAUGGACUCUAGUCUCCUCUUCUAAUAUUCCUUAUUUUUUAAUUCCGAAUUUUAACUAUUUCUAAAUUGUAUUUCUAUAUGGACUCUAGUCUCCUCUUCUAAUAUUCCUUAUUUUUUAAUUCCGAAUUUCAGCUAUUUUAUAAUUGUAUUUCUAUAUGGACUUUGCUUUUUCUUUUUCUCCGAUUAAUGUAAGAAUUUCUAGACCAUGAGAGCGAACAUGGAGGCUACCUUUUCUAUUCCUUUAAUAAUAUAAUAGAUUAUACCUGCAGUGUUUGCUAGUACAUCACUAUCAAGGAAUUAAAGAUACACGGAGAUAAAAGUAUAUAUAUAAUUCAUAAAUACACACCAUUUGGACUUUUAUAUUGCUUUUCGAAGCACAUCAACACAUAUUACAGCACACGCUGCUAGAUAAGUCUUGUACAUUAUAUUUAUUCAACCCCGAUGGCCUAAACGCACGUGCAGAUAUAUACCUAGUACUAAUUUACUGACUAAUUAUAUGCUAUGCGUACAUGCACGUGUACACGACAAAAUCUGGAGUUUUAUGCAUGUGGCUGACUAUAGGUAUCAGUAGGCAGCAACAGCAGCAGCAGCAUCGGCAGAGGCGAGUCUGGGCUUGUUCUUCAACGGGCAGAUUGCCCAGGUGGUAAUGCCACAGAUACCAUUCUUGUUGAGGAUAUCCCGCUCCAUGCGGAUAUAACCGUACUCCCCCCAUGUUUUACCCCAAGAGUUCUUGAUGAUCCAGUAUUUUAUGUUGUCCGUCGUCACUCCAUACCCCACCACCAGUACCACAUGGUUAUCCACAUUCGGAUUACUUCCGCAGGGUCCGCGGAAAACACCCUGCAUCCAUGCAGAUUAAUUAAUUAAUCAAUACUAAUUCAUCAUUAAAUCGAUAUAAGUAGAGAAGUAAUGCUUCCUGCGACACUGAAGUGAAGGGAUUAAUUAGUAAUUGCUAGCUCGAAUCACGCUAAGAGCAAGUUUAAUAGGAUAGCCAACUACUAUCUCCAAUUCAUCUAUAGCCAAUCUUAUAGCUCAUUCAUACAAUAGUUACAUACUACACUAUUAAUACCUGGUCCCAUCUGUCAUAUACAUACUGCGUCUUGGAGUCUGUGCUACAGCUGGCUACAAAUCUGUAGCCCGCUGCUUUUCUCUCUCCUUAUUUAUCUCACUAAAAUAUGUUUGCAGCUGGCUUAUAGCCUGCUAAUGUACCUGCUCUAAUUAAGCUACAGUCAAGUUAAUUACCCCGCGGUAGGAGCGGAACUCAUCGCUGAUUGUGAUGACGACGGACACGGGCUGACUUAACACUGCCAGCUUCAGAGCUGUCUCGUUGCCGGACGGCACCAAGCACUCGCCGUCGAUCUUCACAAAUGGAGGCUUCCUCUGUAUGUGUACGAAAUAUAUGUACAGCGGUAUAAUUGUUAGUAAACAGUGGAGAAAUUCAAUUUUAGCUACUACUAUUUGAUCGAUAUCUAUUAUCAUAUAUGCUAAUAAAUGUAUUUAUACAGUACUAUCUAUAUUUUUUUUUGGAAAAUUUCUAUGCCUCAAAAAAUAAACGUGGUGUUUCCAUUAGACUUAUAUCCUUACAAAUAUACUUCCUCCUUUUUACAUUAUAUAAGAUGUUUUAGGUUUUAAAUUGAUCGACACAUAUAUACUUGUAUCCAAAUUCAUAUGGAUGUUAGCGAAUAUAGAUGAGAGAUGAAGAUACUAAGACUUAUAAAAGAAACGGAUGGAGCCAUCGUUUCGCUUAAGCGAAAUAAUAUAUUUGCAAACGAAAAGUAAUCUGUAAAUAAAAAUUUUAUAUACGUGUUCUUAUCGAUCUAAAAGCAAAGGCUAAAAAAUAAACUUCAAUUAGAAAACCUCAAAAUCAGUUCUAAAUUUAAGGUUAAAAAUUUAAAUUUUAGCUGAUAAGCAUAAGCAUAAGCGAAAAGAUGAGGCCCGAGUGAGUAUGGAGCAUGUUCACAGGUAGGUAUGGGCUCUUAAUUAGUCCUUUAGACGACAAAAAUCCUCUAACCAUCAAUAUACUUUUUAUUAUCUUUCAAUCAGUUUUUCUCCAUCCUCAUGCAACAAAGUAUUUUUUUAUAUAAAUAUUAAGAAACGAUGUUAAGUUGUUGUCAUGCGUAGCAACAUUCUUCCUCCCUUUCUCAGUUUCUAUCUUUCAUAUCAGCAAACUUUUCUUGUUAAUUAAUAACUCUAAUAGUCCGUUAUUAAUUGUCAUUGUAAUAUAUAUAUGGAUGGACUCCUAAUAACUAAUCAGAUGCAUGCUGUCAGCUGGUAUUAUAUGCAUGGAGUGAGACACUUACAGGGUCGAAUCUGCAUUUCUGCUUCUGGUUCUCGUAAGGAGGAUAAUACGGAGGAUUUCCCCGAUUGUCCAAAGAUAUGCCUGUCUUGAUGACGUAGUCGAAUGCAUCGUAUGGGUACCCGCCGUUGCAGUCGCCGGCGCCGGAGCAGUCGAGAAUCUGCUGUUCUGACAGCGUCAGCAGGUUCCCUGUCCUGAUCAUGUUGAUGCUCUCCACCGCCGCCGCCACGGAGAACGCCCAGCAGCUCCCUUCAUACAUACUCAUUUUUAUUGUAUUAACUAAUUUCCCAUGUACAUGUGUUAACUUAGCUAAUUAAUCACGUAUUACACUCCCUCCAUAAGAAAAUAAAUCUAAAACUAGAUGCGACAUAGUCUAAUUUAAACAUAGAUAUGUGCAGAUUUAUAGAAUUAGGAUAUGUCGUAUUCAGUAUUAGAGGUUAGUUUUUUAUAGGAACGACGAUGGAGUACGUAUAUAUACGCACGUACCGCAAGUCAAUUGGUUCUUGACAGGAGUAACAACUCCAUACUUUGUCCAGUUCCAGGAAGGGGGCACGUAGCCCACCGCCGGCGGCUUGCAGUAAGUCACGGCGCCAUCUCUGAGAUCGCCGGCGA